rnacentral:lncRNA from 1 species
AGGAAAGAGAGAGAUAAUGAGGAAGAAAAACCAAUGCUAGUAAACAAGAAGAAAUACCGAGUGCAAGUUAUAGAAGAAGCAGAAUUCAAGUAUGAGCAAAUCCCAGAUACAUUAACUACUUCGAAAGUUGCGAAAAAUAUUUUUAAGAAAAGAAGCCAGCUGCCAAGAGAUCCCCCUAUGGCUUUUUGAAAUGUUAAGGAACCCAAAAGAUCCAAGAAGAGGAGAUAAAAGCAGAGUCUAUGAAAUAUCCUUAACAGACUUGAAUACCAACAUACGAGAAGUUUAUAUCGGAGCAACAUGCAGAAAUCUGAAAACUAGAACAACAGAGCACAAAAGAGAUGUAAAAGUAAGAAACACAGUUACAGCAUUAGCAAAUAAAGCCUACCAAGGUAAUGUAAUUGUGGACUGGCGGAGGGCUGGA